GCUGAAGGUGAUGAUGAUGAAACUGACAAAGAUGCUGAUAUUACAGAAGAGAGUGCACAUGAUGAGUUGUAGGGAGGGAGAGCACCAUUGUGGUUUUCUGCUGACAAUUCACUCUCUCGAGAUCUCUCAAUUUUUUUCUUGCUUAGUUUAUUUGUAGCUUUUAGUUUUGUUUGUGUUUUAGGGAAAGAAACAUUGGUGGCUGCAUAGCAAGCAAGAACUGUGGCUAAUUGUUUUAAUCUCAUUUGACUCACCUGAGGAAUUGAAUCAGUAGUUGUUGGGUUUACCACUGUAUGGAACGUCACUUGUGCCA